GCAGAGAAAGCACAUAUUCAUUUAUGACUUAUGAUGAAAGAGGUUUUCUAUAACUGGAUCCAACUUUUGGGCUUAGGGUCCGGGUUUAACAACCUAGACCCAAAUUCAUUUGACUUUUACUUGGGCCUCAGAUUAAGCCCAUGUUAAACAAAGAACAGCCUUAUCAUCUUUACAGAGUGGGCUCAUGAUCUAGCCCAUUUGCACCAAUAUCAUUCAAAUUAUAACGAAAAUAUGAUCAAACUCCUAACAUAGCUAUUCUUGAAUCCCAACAUAUGAAUUUAAAAAAACCUAAUUAGUUACAAUCUUCCAAAAAACAAACAUUUUCCCAAAAUAAAUACCUUCCAUCAGGACUUAAUACCUAACCCAACUAUAUUUGAAGCUAAAACUAUUACAACUUCUAUCUCAUGAAGGAUCCGAGCCUCUUUUGAACAUGAUUUUUCCACAACAGCCUAUUUCCAUUCCCAAGCCUUUGAACCUGCUGAUUUGGUCAAUUGGUAGCCAAAUCCGCAGGCAUCAGCUUACAACCAAGUAGAUAAAAAGACAAAUAAAAGGAUUUAGAUAAAGGGGAAGUUAUCUAUUCAAAUAAAGGUAAGAAAACUAACUUCGGAAACCUCACAAUCAGUCUUAAUGGCUAACUUUGAAAAGCUAAAACUCAUAAAGCAUUUAGAUAUAGAUUAGCUUGUUCAUGUUCAAAAUCUAAACUCACAUAUUCAAGGUUUAACUAUAUGUAUAUCAUUAUAGGCUAAAGAUUAUCAUGAAAGAGACAUUCAUUUGCACAAAACUCCAUUUAUAUACAACUGAUCUCAUAUUUCUUUAAUAACACAUUACAUGAAGAAGGUGAAGCUCAGUACCUUGCAAAACAGCAACAAAAGAAACAACCACUAAAGGUGCAAAACUGGCUGGAACUUUAAACAAAGAUGGAGCAGCAACAAGACAGAAGCAACAGCAACCAAAAACCCCAAAGUUUCAGACCCAAUACGAACCAUUUGAACCCAGAAGUAACCAACUAAAAACCCACGGAAAAUCUCUAUUUUUCAAACCAUUUUCAACUUGUGAACCAAAAGAGAGAAAAAGUUUUUGGAAAUAUUUCUGAGGUUUUCUAGAGUUCUGAAAAGGGAACUUUUUGCAGAGAAUAAUGUUUAUGAAUGUUGAUGAUUGCUAAAAAAAAU
rnacentral:lncRNA from 1 species